AUUGGAAGGAGGCUGUAGUGGGAGUCGGAGGACCAGAGCGGGCGCGCGAGGGAGGCGGCGGGCGGGGAGUGAGCGAGGCAGAGCGAGCGAGCGGGCGGGCGAGGCCGGCGUCCCCACCCCCCCCUAACCCCCGGCGGCGCCCGGGGCCUCGGUCCACCCACGGGGAGGACGAACUUCACCAGGGCCGCACCCGAGGUAUGUGGAACUCCCAGGCGGGGAGUCCAAUCAGAGCUGUAGCCUCCGGCCUGAGUCAGAGCCCUGGCAACAUGGGAUCUGAGCCAAGUCUGCGACCUGCACCACAGUUCGUGACAAUGCUGGAUCCUUAACCUCCUGAGCGAGGCCAGGGAUCGAACCCACGCCCUUAUGGAUAAGAGUCGGGUUUGUUACCACCGAGCCGCGACGGGAACUCCUGGCCUGGGCACUUCUACAUGCUGUGGGCAUGGCCAAAAAAAAUUGGUUUUAUUGUAAGUUUUCUCUCCCCCUCCUCUUUUAAAGCUAUCACCCCGCUAAUGAGGGUGGGAGCAACAGAAAACAAUUCUCCAGUCCUGGGAGUCGUGGCGCAUGGAAAUCAGGAGGACCUAGGUACGGAGGGCCAGGGAGGAAAGCCAGAAUUGUCCCUGUACGAGGUGGCCUUGGGCCCUCAGGAGCACAGUGGGUGAUUUUCGUCGCUGGUAGCAAACUGAGGGUGCAGCCCCAGCGCUGUCCCCUGGGAGGUCCGGACCUCUCUGCCUCGCUGCUCCCCCUGGGUGGUCAGGUCCCCCUGGGCUCCUCCCGGGGUCGGGCUGGCCUCAGGCUUGAAGCUGGCCACGCAGAGCCGGCUCCACUUACCCUGCGAGUGGAAGUGCAUGUCGCUAACUGAAAAGUCACGUUUUGCCAACCUGACGUAGCUGAGCGUCCGUGGAAAUUGGCCUUGGGGAUUAUUUUAGAAAGCGUGCUAGACUUGGUGAGAAUAAACUUGCGCGGUAGUUCGAGUGAGCCUCUGGGGAACUCGGAGACCAAGGUCUGCCUCGGCUUUUCGUGUGACCUUGGCCGAGUCUCUUUCCUUUUAUCUUCCACCUGCUGUGGGGUUUUUCCUGUGACGAAGGGCAGGACGGAUUGCUUUCUAGGCCCGCACAUAGUUAACAACCCUGCUUAAAAGUAAAAGACAUGUUUGCUUUUCCAGUAUUGUGACAAAGACACUCUUUGUUAGAGAAACAAAAAACUCUUCCUGCCUUUACAAAGGUUUGUACUUAACAAUUGCAGAGGAAGCAUUUACACUUGCAGCCACGCCUCGCCCCCAUCUUCACACUGGGAAGGAUGUUUCUCUCCUGGUGGUUUUUUUUUAAGUUAUAUACUGAAUAGCAGUCAUUUUGUCUGGGCGCUGAGCAGAAGUGCUCCGUGGGCAGAGGGGUCUGUCCUUUGGUGUAGAUGAUGCCAGUUGGGGUGUGACAGAGGUUUGCGACAGAGACUCUGAAGACACUGUCUGGAACAGCCUUGCAGCGGGUGCUCUGUCUGAAAGAGGCAGUGCCUCUCAAGCACCGUGGGCAGCCUUUGCCACGAGACGAGUGCUGCUGGGAGCCGCUGGGAGCCGUCGAAAAGCCGAGGGGGUUGGAGGGGGAAGCCCACUGCCAGAAUUUCGGUUGGGAUCCUCCGGUGUUUGCAGUCAUUUCUGUAGGGAAGAUGCUGGAUUUGCCUGUCUGAGGGCAGAGAAGCGGGAAGGGCAGCCUUAGAGUGGACUUGGGUGUGGGGAAGAAUCAGCCUGGGAAGGAAGAGGAGGGUUCCUCUGGGAGGCCCUUAGUCCCCCUAUGUGUGAACAGGAGGACGGAGGCCUCGAAGGUGAAAUUAAGAAAUCCAGGAGUUCCUGUAACGAACUGGCUCAGCCCUAACGAACCUGACUAGCAUCCAUGCGGACGCAGGUUCGGUCCCUGGCCUCACUCAGUGGGUUAAGGAUCUGGCGUUGCUGUGAGCUGUGGUGUAGGUUGCAGACACGGCUCAGGUCCCGUGUUGCUGUGGCUGUGGUGGAGGCCGGCAGCUGCAGCUCUGAUUCGACCCCAGCCUGGGAACUCCCAUAUGCCGCAGGCGCACCUCUAAAAAGCAAAAAAAGAAAAGAAAUCCGGAGUGCAGAUGUUUAUCUUUUGAAAUAUCUCAUUUAUUUUCUUAAUUAAUAUGGUUGGGGUUAACUCACUCCAUUAAACUUCAUCUGCUUCCAGUUAUUCUUUUAUGAUGCCUCAUCUUUUAUUUGUAAACACACAAACAGCAGAUAUAAACAUCACUUCCCCAACCUCCAGUUGUUUGUUGGGGGCUGUUGUUUAAACCCUAUGUGGCUCAUUUUGCCCAGAUCCGUCUGCUAAGGUUGCCACGGAUGGGUCCACCUGAUUUUGGCCGCUAAAUGCUACAGGCCUCAUCCUGUGUAUUUGAUCUUGGUUCAUCUUAUUUCCAAGUUCUCUGCCUUCAUUUUCCACGUGACCCAAAUUCAAAGAGGCUUUUAAAGUCCCAGAGAGGUUAAAGAGAUGUAUCUCCCAGGUUUUUUGGUUUUUGUUUUUCAGGGUGAUUUUUUGGAUAUUUAUCGAGCAGCAGGUGCCAAGGAGAGAGUCUUCCGAGCUGCGCAGAGGCGGAGGGUGGGUGGGGAGGCUCUAGCCAGGCCAGUUUUCGCAGAAGCGUUGACCUCAGUUUGCUAAUUAAACAGAGAAGAAAGUCGGGGUGCAGCUUGUGAUGUGUCAGUUGAACCCGAUGGUUUCCAAGGUCCUUCAGGGCCUCACGCUUGGUGGAUCCAACCCUGCCAGGUGUGCGUCCCUGAUUUCAGGUAAGGAGAUGCAGACAACAGAUGCCAUCUUAAUAGAGGCUGAUGGUUAAGGAGCACCUCCUUUUUGUCUGCUCCCCUCUCCCUUGCUCCCCAAUAGUCCAUAGCGCUGUUACUGAAAAACAGCCACCUCUGGAAUCAAACACCAGCCCUGCUUCUCUCUGCUCUUUAACCUUCUCUUUGGAGGCAGGAGAAUGGCUCUAAGGGAAUAACAGAGUAUUUGGAGCCUUGGGUUCUGGCUCUUGUCAUUGGUUGUCUUUUUUUCUUUUUUAAAAACAAUUUUUUUAUUCUCUUUUUUUUUUUGGCUGUGCCUGCAGCAUGCAGAAGUUCUUGGGCCAGAGAUCAAACCACUACCACGGUGGUGACAAAACCACAUCCUUAACCCACUGAGCCACCAGGGAACUCCUCAUUCAUUGUCUUUAAAACUCUAACUUAAAAUAGGCUUUACUCUUGGAGUUUCUGUUACAGCUCAGUGGUAAUGAACCUGACGCGUCUCUGUGAGGAUGAGGGUUUGAUCCCUGGCCUCACUCAGUGGGUUAAGCGUCCGGCAUUGCUGUGGGCUCUGGUGUAGGUUGAAGACGUGGCUUGGAUCCCACAUUGCUGUGGCUGUGGUGUAGGCUGGCACCUGCAGCUCUGAUUUGACCCCUAGUCUGGGAACCUCCAUAUGCUGCAGGUGCAGCUCUAAAAAAGCAACAAACAAACAAGAAACUUUAUCUUCCCAGCUGGCUGCAAAAUGCAGACUGCCCUCUUCCCCUCUGCAUCCCUGUCCUGACCUGAUGCACCUCUUUGCUGAGAGCUUCUGGGAUCCGGCUUAGACCGUGGUGAAAAUUUCCAUUUUUGAGUCUCCAUUCCGUUUGGGCAGAUGCUAUAUUAUUCUCUCUGGCCACAGACACUUUUAACCAGGAGGUCUGGGAAAACCCAGAUAUCCUCAGGUCCGUGAGUGGGAGGGGAGACCACAGGAGGCUUCUAGAACAGUCCCUGCAUUUUGCAGAUGACAACAGUGUUGCUUGUUGUGCUUAAAAAGUUGGAGAGUACAUUUCACCAAGGGCUGGUUACAUUAUAGCGGUUCUUUUUUUUUGUCUUUUUGCUAUUUCUUGAGCCGCUCCUGCGGCAUAUGGAGAUUCUCAGGCUAGGGGUCGAAUCGGAGCUGUAGCCACCGGCCUACACCAGAGCCACAGCAACGCGGGAUCCGAGCCGCGUCUGCAAACUACACCACAGCUCACGGCAAGGCCGGAUCCUUAACCCACUGAGCAAGGGCAGGGACCGAACCCGUAACCUCAUGGUUCCCAGUCGGAUUCGUUAACCACUGCGCCACGAUGGGAACUCCCAGGGUUCUUCAUAAACCCAAGUAAACAUGGGUGUUUUUAAAUUGACUCUGCAGUAGGGAUUUGCAGUUGGAUGGACCCCACUCGAGUAAACUUCCUUUCUUCAUUUAAAUGAUACAAUUCAUACCAUUUGGUUGGUGCCCACUUUAUGGAUCUGUGCCUAUGGCUUCAAGACUGUCCCUGAAAUGCUCUUCAGUUGUUGGGAAUCCCUAGCUCCGUUGCUGAGCUCUGCAGGCUGGGGUGACUCCAGGUUUCACCUUCGAGAGGUGGGCUCAGUCGGUCCUUUUCAUCGGCCAGCGUCUUAGUCAAUGACUGUGGCACCUCCGAAGCUUGUCUGUCCUGCACAUGUCCUGCUCGAAGUUGUCCAUUCAUGAAAUCCCCUCUGAAAAUUAGGCACCGAUGAUUAGAUGUUAUCGCUGCACAUCUAACGUGCAGAGGGGUCCCGUGUUAAGAAUUCUUUAUUUCUUGCGUUCUCGUGACUGUAUAUGCAACACAUGGGCUGGUUUCUCUGAACUGACGCGUAUGCAUAGGGGUGUGCUGUGCAACGCAGUUCUGUAGCACAUGAGGUUACCCGCUUUGUUCUAAGCUUGUGGUCCUGCUCUCAUUCAUUCCUGUUCAGGUUGUAGGUGACAGGGAAAUUCUGGGUUUCAAGUUUGUGCAAGAUGUUAGCACCAGAUGUCUUUGCUCCCUAGAAAGUCCUGUCUCUUUGACGAGGCCCCACCGCCAAGCUCUUCUGUGUCAGAUAUUUCAUGUCAGCCAGUCGUAUGCCAGCCUAAGAAGGGUGUUUACCUUUGAGUAGCUUGGAAGUCAGUUUCCGCUGUAAGAAAUCCUAUAUGGCUGCCUCCAUGCAAAGACCCAUAGUAGAGUAGGUUUUUUUUUUUUUUUUUGUCAUUUCAGGGCUGUACCCUUGGCCUUUGGAGGUUCCCAGGCUAGGGGUCGAAUUGGAGUUUAGCCGCCGGCCUACACCACAGCCACAGCAACGCCAGAUCCGAGCUGCGCCUGCGACCUACACCACAGUUCACAGCAAUGCUGGAUUCUUAACCCGCUGAUCGAGGCCAGGGAUCAGCCAGGGAUCAGACCCGCAUCCUCAUGGAUAAGUCAGGUUCUUAACCCGCUGAGCCACAAUGGGAGCUCCUGAUGGGGUACAUCAAGGCCUCACCCUCUUGAUGAUAAAUAAGCAGUAACUGAUAGGUAAAUAGUAGAUAAAUGAACUUUCAGGAUGGGGCACAGCUCGUCUGCAGCUUCGGGGUUUUCUCUUCUCUUGAGCCAGUCACUCGGAAGGCUGUUCUCUUUCUCCCCGUGCACGCGUCUGUUUGUGAAGCUUGCCGCCCGAUGGGGAGGUUAGGUGACAGUCACCACCGUGAAUUAGAAGACACAGUCUGUUUUUGUGGGGACCCCAGGCCGCCGCCAGCCCUGGUGCUUAGCCCUCGGCCAUCCCUUAGCCCCAGCAUAUCUUAUUUCCCGGGAUGGAGCUGUGAAUCUGGUUGGGAAAAAUGAGCAUUCUUAGGCUGGGGCCGCAGGUGGUGUUGGGUUUCAAUCUCUUUAGAGCCAAAACUCCUGAAAUCUGGUUGAAAAAUGGCCAGGCGACUGCCAUCCCUCCUCCGAGUAAAUCAAGCUCGGAGCUCCGGGCGGACGGCGCCACUCCAUGAACCUUUGCCCCCAAGAGCCCGUUCCCCUCCGUUGACGAUGGAGCCAGGCAAGGCCCUGCUCUUCUUAGAAGGGGCUGCGGGGGGCGGCGGCGGGGGGAGCUGGGAAGAGUGGGAGCUGAUGGGCUCCGUCAUGCUUUCGAAGCAGCGGGGUCCGGGUGACAGGUGACUGUGCAAAGAAGGGGUUUUUCCUUGUCGAUGGCUCCUGGGCACCUGACACCUGUUUUCAUCUUCAAAGCCAUUGGCAGAUACGGUUCUUGAAGAUGCUCCUGUGAUCGCCCAGGCUGUGAGCUGCUUCUCAGGGAACCGGAACCUGGGAUGUUUCAGAGAUCAGGUUUGGGCGAACAGUUUGGUGGUGCGCCCCCCUUCAGAAUCCUUGGGGGUUUUCCAUUUUGAUGGACAUGGUUGGAAAGGUCUCAGCGGGGAUGAGGUGUCCUAGUGCUCCUUUUGACAUUCCUGCGGUGCGACAGGAGGCAUCUGCUCUGUGAUCCAGACGUGCUGGAGUUCCAGGGGCUGCCACGGCAGGCCUGGAAUUUCCUAAGCUUUUAGUGUAGGCCUUGGCUUUUCAUGUUCCAUCUGGAGAGUAGUCUGUCUUCCGAGCCACAUAAAAAACAAAUAACUGCAAACCUUCCCCCUCUCAGAGUAGCAAGCCUGAGAUUGCAAGUAUGGUCAUUGGUAGUAAAUGGCCCGUUUGUUGCAGCUUUAAGGCAGAUCCCUUUGAAAGUACUGGA
rnacentral:lncRNA from 1 species